GAUGAAGAACGCAGCGAAAUGCGAUAAGUAGUGUGAAUUGCAGAAUUCAGUGAAUCAUCGAAUCUUUGAACGCACAUUGCGCCCCUUGGUAUUCCAUGGGGCAUGCCUGUUCGAGCGUCAUUUGUACCUUCAAGCUUUGCUUGGUGUUGGGUGUUUGUCUCGCCUCUGCGUGUAGACUCGCCUUAAAACAAUUGGCAGCCGGCGUAUUGAUUUCGGAGCGCAGUACAUCUCGCGCUUUGCACUCAUACGACGACGUCCAAAAGUACAUUUUUACACUCUUGACCUCGGAUCAGGUAGGGAUACCCGCUGAACUUAAGCAUAUCAAUAAGCGGAGGA
rnacentral:misc_RNA from 1 species